GAUGAACGCUGGCGGCGUGCCUAAUACAUGCAAGUCGAGCGAACAGACGAGGAGCUUGCUCCUCUGACGUUAGCGGCGGACGGGUGAGUAACACGUGGAUAACCUACCUAUAAGACUGGGAUAACUUCGGGAAACAGGAGCUAAUACCGGAUAAUAUAUUGAACCGCAUGGUUCAAUAGUGAAAGACGGUUUUGCUGUCACUUAUAGAUGGAUCCGCGCCGCAUUAGCUAGUUGGUAAGGUAACGGCUUACCAAGGCAACGAUGCGUAGCCGACCUGAGAGGCUGAUCUGCCACACUGGAACUGAGACACGGCCCAGCCUCCUACGGGACGCAGCAGUAGGGAAUCUUCCGCAAUGGGCGAAUGCCUGACGGAGCAACGCCGCGUGAGUUAUGAAGGUCUUCGGAUCGUAAAACUCUGUUAUUGGGGAAGAACAAAUUUGUAAGUAACUAUGCACGUCUUGACGGUACCUAAUCAGAAAGCCACGGCUAACUACGUG
rnacentral:rRNA from 1 species